rnacentral:lncRNA from 1 species
GCUGCUCGAACGCAUUCGCCGAGAGCAGCAGAGUGCCCGCACUCGCCUUCAGGAAAUGGAACGCCGAUUCCAUGAGCUUGAGGCCAUCAUUCUACGUGCCAAGCAGCAGGCUGUGCGCGAGGAUGAGGAGAGCAACGAGGGUGACAGUGAUGACACAGACCUGCAGAUCUUCUGUGUUUCCUGUGGGCACCCCAUCAACCCACGUGUUGCCUUGCGCCACAUGGAGCGCUGCUACGCCAAGGUUGGGGUGUCAGACUGAGGGGGCGGACCAUGUGGGAACAUCAGUGGGCCAGUGGGGGACAGAUUUGUUGUCUGGGUGGUGUCUUGGGAGGGCAUGCAGCGCACAUCCACAGUUCCCUCCAUUUGUGCUCAUCCCUCCAGUAUGAGAGCCAGACGUCCUUUGGGUCCAUGUACCCCACACGCAUUGAAGGGUAAGUGAGGGUGCCACGCAGUGAGAGGUGGGGGGUUAAGGCGGGGGUCAGAAGUGGGAUGUGUGUGGAGCUGGGGCAGGAUACGGGCAACCAGCCAGGACAGAUGGACCUCCCUUCCCUCCCUCUACUGCCCUCUCUACUCCAAAUCCCCAGGGCCACACGACUCUUCUGUGAUGUGUAUAAUCCUCAGAGCAAAACAUACUGUAAGCGGCUCCAGGUGCUGUGCCCCGAGCACUCACGGGACCCCAAAGUAAGGUUUUCCCUCAGCUCCUCCCAUUUUGCCCCUCCUCCCUGCCUCGCUGUCCCACAUUCAUCCCUUCCUUCCUCACCUCACUUUUCCUUCACUUUUUCCUCUCAGCUUCCCUGCUGCUUCACCCUCCAUUCCUCCUUUUCCAUGCCUCCUCACCGUUCCCUGAACCCUCCAUUCUUUUCCUU